GAUCCUGGCUCAGAUUGAACGCUGGCGGAAUGCUUUACACAUGCAAGUCGAGCGGCAGCGCGGGGCAACCUGGCGGCGAGCGGCGAACGGGUGAGUAAUACAUCGGAACGUGCCCAGACGUGGGGGAUAGCCCGGCGAAAGCCGGAUUAAUACCGCAUGAGAUCUGAGGAUGAAAGCAGGGGACCUUCGGGCCUUGCGCGUUUGGAGCGGCCGAUGGCAGAUUAGGUAGUUGGUGAGGUAAAGG
rnacentral:rRNA from 1 species